rnacentral:rRNA from 1 species
AGGGAAUCUUCCACAAUGGACGCAAGUCUGAUGGAGCAACGCCGCGUGAGUGAAGAAGGUUUUCGGACCGUAAAGCUCUGUUGUUGGUGAAGAAGGAUAGAGGUAGUAACUGGCCUUUAUUUGACGGUAAUCAACCAGAAAGUCACGGCUAACUACGUGCCAGCAGCCGCGGUAAUACGUAGGUGGCAAGCGUUGUCCGGAUUUAUUGGGCGUAAAGCGAGCGCAGGCGGAAGAAUAAGUCUGAUGUGAAAGCCCUCGGCUUAACCGAGGAAUUGCAUCGGAAACUGUUUUCUUGAGUGCAGAAGAGGAGAGUAGAACUCCAUGUGUAGCGGUGGAAUGCGUAGAUAUAUGGAAGAAUACCAGUGGCGAAGGCGGCUCUCUGGUCUGCAACUGACGCUGAGGCUCGAAAGCAUGGGUAGCGAACAGGAUUAGAUACCCUGGUGGUCCAUGCCGUAAACGAUGAGUGCUAAGUGUUGGGAGGCUUCCGCCUCUCAGUGCUGCAGCUAACGCAUUAAGCACUCCGCCUGGGGGAGUACGACCGCAAGGUUGAAAC